rnacentral:lncRNA from 1 species
AAUACAUGAACACUACUUGUUCGUACUGUCUGCUUCUUUUACUGAUCACCGCCGCCGCUUCUCAGUCCACCGUCAAUACCCUACCCGGUUAUCCCGGACCUCUGCCUUUCAAACUCGAAACCGGGUCGGGUUCUUUUUUUUUUUUUUUUUCUUCUAUAUAAUUUCCAUGGAAGUUGUUGCUUGUUAACUUAUUUGCUGUGGAUCUCAUUUCAACUUUGUUGGAAUCAGGUACAUUGGCGUUGGAGAUGACGAUGAAGUUCAACUGUUCUACUACUUCGUUGAAUCGGAGCGAGACCCGCGAAAGGACCCUCUUAUUUUUUGGCUCACCGGCGGACCCGGUUGCUCUGGGUUUUCCGGCCUCGUUUACGAAAUCGGUGAGUUUAAUUCUGUUGUUGAUACUUACUAACUCUGCAGCUCUGCUUCAUUGUCUGCUUUUAAGUUGCCUAUUGUCGGCGGCGGCGGUGGUGGUGGUGGCUGUUGGCCGCCGCAUUUGAGUGACGCAUGCAGAAAGCUUUCUGCCCGCAAUGUGUUUGACAUUUUGCCCAAGAGAAAUUGAAUUUUGUAGAUUUAAUUGCCAAAUAGAUUUAGCUAUUAUCCCAACUAUAUUAGGUAAUUGAAAACAAGAUCCAGGCUAAAUUAAUUGGAUUUAUUUAUUGUGCCAUCAUAGGUUCUGGUAUAUUUGAUGUAGAACAAGUUUGACAUUUAAGGAAAAAUAGUAAUUGAAAACAAGAUCCAGGCUAAAUUAAUUGGAUUUAUUUCAUUUUAAAUAUAUUUGCAGGUCCGUUGGCGUUUGAUGUGGUAGAUUUCGAUGGAAGCUUUCCUUCUUUCACUUUAAAUCCAUAUUCAUGGACAAAGGUUCGAUUUCGAAGCAGCUACUUUGUUCAUCAUCUUUCAAUUGUUUUGACUUUUACCUUUUGCAAUCAUACAUACAUAUUAUAUAUAGAUCGCAAGCAUUAUAUUCAUAGACUCCCCUGUCGGAACCGGAUUCUCCUAUACCAACACAUCAGAAAGUUACGCUACGUCCGACACUAAAUCAACAGAAGAUAAUUACGUAUUCUUGAGGAAGGUUAGUUAGUUUCUAAUAAGAAUCCUUGUCCUUUUUACUUCGUUUUUUCUCUUCCUAGAGGAAAUCGACGGCUAUAUAAAACCGAUUUCUAUCUAUUAUUUAUAAUCGGUGGAAAUUAAUCUUAGUUAGGCUAACGUCAUUUUGGAAAAUUCAGUGGUUGUCACUCCACCCCAGAUUUGUAAAAAAUCGCCUAUACAUCGCUGGCGACUCUUACGGAGGCAAAAUCACUCCCAUGGUAGCUCGGGCCAUAUCAGAAGGUUGCAUUUCAAGAUAAUUAAUUCUGAUGAUAAUUUUUUUUUUUUUUUUUUGUUUUUUUACAUGAUUAAGCUGACAAUAGUGUGUGCUCGUAUUCCAGGUAACGAAGCCGGACUUCAGCCACGAAUGUUACUCCAAGUAAAUGAUAUUAUUAUUUUUAUUCAUUUAAUUUCGAUUAUAUAAUCUUCGUUACCCAAUAUAACAAUUAUUGAGAAAAUUAAACCAGGGAUACAUUGUUGGUAAUUCAAGGACGGAUGCAAAUAAGGAUGACAAUGAAAAGAUUCCUUAUGCUCACAGAAUGGGACUCGUAUCCGAUGAAUAUUUCGAGGUAUUUUCAUUCCCUUUUUUACUAUAUGGUCUUUAGAUGAUUAAUGACUUACACUUUUGGAUAAUACGAUCGUAAUAAAGUAGUUGAAAAAUAUUUCAGCUAGCAAAAAGCAGCUGUCUCGGAGAGUACGUGAAUCCGGAUCCAGAUAAUAUAGAAUGCAAAUACGCUCUUCGUCUUGUUAAUGAGGUCGAUAACACUUAAAUUAUUUUCUUACUUAACAUAUAUACAUGGCACCUGUAAAAUAUUUUUGUUCUUCCUUUUUAUAUUUAGUGCAGUGCACAAAGCUUGUCAACAAUCCCCACAUUCUGGAGCCGAAGUGCAAAUUCUUAUCACCAAACCCUAAUUACUCUCAACGGGGCCCACUAUUUGUAGAAGAUGAUCCAGUCGACGACGUCCUAUUCAUGUCCACACAAGACGACUCGUUAUGCCGUGUAAUUUCUACUUUUCUGUCUCGCAUAUUCUUUCAUAUAUUCCCUUUUAUUUUUAUUUUUAUAUAUAGUCAUUUUGUUUGCAGAAUUAUAAUUAUGCGAGCUCUUACGUUUGGGCGAAUAAUGAAACUGUCCAAGAAGCUCUUCACAUAAGAAAGGUAAUACGAAGAAAAAAAAAACCGAGAAUUUUGAAGUUUGACAUCUUUUUUCCAGUAUUUAAGAAAAAAAUAUAUAUAUUCCUCGUGUUUCGUUAUGUUAAUUGGAAUUAAAAACUAGGGAACAAUACCCGAUUGGAAAAGAUGCAAUAAGAGCUUAAGUUAUGAGUAUGAUGUAGAAAGUGUUCUCGAAGAUCAUCGGCUUCUCAGCGAGAAAGGCUUUCAAGCCUUGGCAUAUAGGUGGGGGGCUGCUUAUUAAUUAGCUACACAGUAUUGAUUUAUAUGAUUAUAUCUAAUAUAUUUUCUCUCGAGUUUCUAAUCCAUAAUUUGUAUUUAUUAAUAAUGCUUUUGAAUUAAAAUUGUCCUCUUUGUUUUUUCAGUGGCGAUCAUGACAUGUCUAUACCCUACAUGAGCACUCUAAAAUGGAUACGAGAAUUAAAUCUCACCGUUGACGAUGACUGGAGGCCGUGGACUGCCAACGGACAAGUUGCAGGGUUCGGUUUUUUUCGAUUUUUAGAUUCCGUCUAGAAAUCGUAAAAAAAAUGUAUGAACUAUUGAAGUUUGACUUAAUCGUUUUGCAGAUACACACAGAAAUACAAGAACAAUCAAGCCUACAUCACCUUUGCUACAGUCAAGGUUUUUACUUAAACUCGUGCAAAAAAAAUUAAUAUAAUAAAAUUAACUUAAUAAAUAUUAAAUUAAAUUAUAUAUAUACACAUAUAUAUAUUUGCAGGGUGCAGGUCAUACAGCUCCAGAGUACAAGCCUAAAGAAUGUUUUGCCAUGUUUGAGAGAUGGCUCUCUUUGUACCCACUCUGAUCCAAUACUGCAGGUUCUGGAUUUUAUUAUCUUUGUAUUUAAUUAUUUAACAAAAUAUAUUUAUUUUUGUCACAAAUAAAAUAAAAAGUUGAGAUUAUGGUACAACUCUAUAGAAGAAAAUCAAAUAAGAGAAUAAAGAAAGAAAAGAAACCGAGUGAUUUUGGAUCUUGAUAAAAAUUCCUUGUAUAGAUGUCACAUGUGAUGUAACUAUCAUUCAUUAUUCGACAAAUUACGAAAAACCCCCUAAUGUUUAGGUAAUUACAACCACCCUCGAAAAACCACUCCUUCAGUAGAUAAAUUUAACACCGUAAGGGUGGACGUGUAAGACAAUACGUAGUUGAGGGGAUGGUUGUGUAAUUACCCAAACAUAGAUGGGUGUUUUUGUAAUUUGACGGUACCUGAGGGGUGGCCGUAAAUUACCCUUUGUUUUAUGUGUCUAUUAUCUAUCUGGCCAUUCUUUUGAACUUUAGGCAGCAAAUUUUAUAAUGACCCUUGAAACAACCAAAUUUCACAGCAUUGCCGUAUAAUUCAAAUCGUCCCAAUUGAUGAAUUAACAUCACAAUCAUCCGAUUUUCGCAAGCUAUAAAUUAUGUAACAUGUUUUCUUUCCGGCAAACCCUUCUGAUUUAUUUAAUUCACAAAUUAAAAAUCUUGCUUCCAAAUCGAAAAUUUUCCCACCGUACGGCCUGAUUUACGCACUAAAUCAGUCAGCCCACUCAACAAUUCUUCACACAAACGUAUUGCACCAUCGUUGUAUCAAAUAAACAACAACAAUCACAAGUAUGCAGUGGAAAUCGAACAACACAAGCAAUUUACGAGCAAUGCUCAACCUUUAUUGAUUCACUCACGAAUAAUACAAGGAAAGCCCUUGGUGCACACAAAGAAUCCUCACAACAGAUGCUAACAAUUGCAAUCUGAGUCCCUCUAUCUGAAUGGGUCGGAUUUGUGCACUCAAGGGACUAUAAAUACAAGGUACAAUGCAGUUUACACACUAAACUGCCAAGGGACACAUGGCGGCACGCAGGCCAGCCACUUGGCUCACUAGUACAACAUAUAAGGGACGGUUUUUAAGCCGUUGCUGAUGCCAACCGCUCCACAACUGCCUUCCGUAACUUCCCAAGUCAAUUAGCUGCCCGGCUUGCCCAAUCGGCGCGCGCGCGCCCCUAAGGAUCGAUUAUGCCCGCACGCGUGCUAUUCAGCCCGCUUGCCUUACCCACACUUGUCAUGCCUUUCUCGGCCAAGCAUCUCAAUGCUUGCCAAUCACUCGAAAGCAUUGCCUAGUUGUUCUCGGCCAAGCACCUCAAUACUUGCCCAUCUCUCGGCCACCGUUUGGCCCAUGUGUAGCAUGCCUUGUGCCAACACUUCUUGGCACCACUUCAACUAUAACUCGGCCACACUCGAGUUAUAGUCGAUGUCUCCGUCUAAGGGGGUAACACCUACCAUAUUUAGUUGGGUUCAAAAUUUACUACGCAUUCAUCACCAAAUUCUCGUUACUAGAACUUUAUUGUAGAACCUCGAUAAACUAAUAAUCUCAUUUAAAUAAUAAUAUCUCUCAAAUUCCAAUUCGAUAAAAAUUUAUUAAAUCACUAGUACAAUAAUUUAAUAUUUGACUAUAUUAAUACUAAUUUACAGAGGUUUGAAUGUAGUUGUAAAUACAAAUCAAUUGGGAAUGAUGCUUGCUCUGAACUUUGAGGUAUUGAGUAUGCGUACUCAAUAAAUUAACAAAUUAAGUUGAAAUUGUAUAUUAGUUUAGUGAGUAGUUAUCUGUGUAGAUAUACUAAACAGGCUAUUUAAAAAGUAAAUAAUAAUAAUAAAUAAAUAAAAUCUAUAAAAUUUUGGAUUGAAUGAUUGGCAUUAGAAUAGUCAACGAAUGGAUAAUGAUUUUGCAAUAUAUUUACCAGAAACGUUAUCUAUUUAAAAAGGGGAUUUUUAUGCAAAAGUCCCCAACCAAGCAUGUUUAUUAUUCUAGGUAUAGGGGACAUAUCUCUUUCACCAAUAAGCCCAUCCCUUUAAUAUUUAUUAUAACUAAAGGAAACAUUCAUGUAUAUCCCAAUAUUACCCUCAAUCAUUUAUACCCAAUUCUUAAUUGUAAUCCAAAUUAAUCAAUUUUGUCCAUAAAAGUUCAAUUUUGACCACAAAAAUUCAAUUUUGACUUUUUUUUGGAGUAUAAUUUAAUAUGCUCCAAUUUCAUCCUUAACUUAAUUUAAUCUCAAUUUGACCCCAAAUUUCACAAAUUAUUAAAUUUUGACCCAAAAAUUUUUUUUUUUCAAAAAAAAAUUUUUUUUCAAAAACUUUUUUUUGCCGCCGGAUUCCGGCGUUGACUUUUUAAACUUUUUUUUUUUUUUUUUUUUUUUUUCUUCCGGAUUUUUUUUCCGGAUUACGGCGGUCAACGCCGGUCUCCGGCGUUGACUUUUUUUUUUGUUUUUUUUUCUUUUUUCUUUUUUUUUUCUUUUCUUUUCUUCCGGAUUUUUUCGCCGGUUUCCGGCGGUCUCUUUCUUUAGUGUUUUUUUAAGUUUUUUUUUUUUUGUUUGGUUUGUUUUGUUUUUCCACGCCCGCCGCUACACGUUGACCGUAAUUGUGCUGUCACUGACAGUAAUUUAGCGUAAUUAUACUGUCAAUGAUAGUUAAUUAACGUAAUUGUACUGCCGUUGACAUUACAUUUAUGUAAUUGUGCUGCCGUUGACAGUAAAUUAAUGCAAUAUUAUAUUUUUUUUAUUUAUUAUUAUUUUUUUUUAUUUUUUUUGAUUUGUUGACAAGUCAACGUAAUUAUAUUACUGUCGUUGACAGUAAAAUAACUGUAAACACAAUAAUAUUACUGUCAACAACAUCAAUAUUAUUAUUUUUUUGGGGUGUUUGUUUUGUUCGAGUUAUUCACGAAGUAACGUAAUAAUAUUACUGUCUACUAUUGUAAUAUUACUGUUGCUAUAGUAAUAUUACUGUCACUCACAGUAAUAUUAAUUCUUUUGGUUUUUUUUAUUUUGUUUACAUUUGUUGAACGGACAACAUAGUAAUAUUACUUUAUUAUACAAUAAUAAUGAAUUUUGUUGUGUUAAUAUUAAUGUGCUAGAGAUUAAUAUAGCAAUAUCAAUGUGUUAAACUAUAGUUUAGUUAAUUUUACUGUGUUUAACAGUAAUAUAGUUAAUAUUACUGUCAUUCACAGCAAUAUUGCUGUUUAAACGGAAAAAAAAGUUACAGGAAAAAAAAAAAAAAAUAAAAAAAAAAUUAAAAAGUCAACGCCGGAGACCGGCGUUGACCGCCGGAAUCCGGAAAAAAAAUCCGGAAGAAAAAAAAAAAUAAAAAAAAAAAUAAAAAAAAAAAAAAAAUAAAAAGUCAACGCCGGAGACCGGCGUUGACCGCCGGUCAACGCCGGAAUCCGGAAAAAAAAUCCGGAAGGAAAAAAAAAAAAAAAAAAAAAAAAAGUCAACGCCGGAGACCGGCGUUGACUGCCGGUCAACGCCGGAAUCCGGCGGGAAAAAAAAGUUUUUGAAAAAAAAAAAAUUUGUGAAAAACAAAAAAGUUUUGGGUCAAAAUUGAAUAAUUUGUGAAACUUGGGGUCAAAUUGAAGUUAAAGUAAGUUAAGGAUGAAAUUGGAGCAUAUUAAAGUAAGAGGGGUUAUUUUAGUCCUUUACAUAAAUCUGGACCAUGUGUGGACUUAUUGGUAAAGGAGAAUAUUGUCUGGAUCUCUUUAUGAAUAAGUUCCCACUGAUGGGCUUAUUUGUAAUAUGCCCUUUAAAAAGAGAUUAGCAAAAGGCAUCACAUGAACACUUGUUCGUACUGUCUGCUUCUUUUACUGAUCACCGCCGCCGCUUCUCAGUCCACCGUCAAUACCCUACCCGGUUAUCCCGGACCUCUGCCUUUCAAACUCGAAACCGGGUCGGGUUCUUUUUUUUUUUUUUUUUCUUCUAUAUAAUUUCCAUGGAAGUUGUUGCUUGUUAACUUAUUUGCUGUGGAUCUCAUUUCAACUUUGUUGGAAUCAGG